rnacentral:lncRNA from 1 species
UAUCACAUCGAGCCAGUUCCUGGGGAAGAAAAUAAAUAUAUUGCUUAUGUAGCUUACCCCUUAGACCUUUUUGAAGAAGGUUCUGUUACUAACAUGUUUACUUCCAUUGUAGGUAAUGUAUUUGGGUUCAAAGCCCUGCGCGCUCUACGUCUGGAAGAUUUGCGAGUCCCCCCUGCUUAUAUUAAAACCUUCCAAGGGCCGCCUCAUGGCAUCCAAGUUGAGAGAGAUAAAUUGAACAAGUAUGGUCGUCCCCUGUUGGGAUGUACUAUUAAACCUAAAUUAGGUUUAUCUGCUAAAAACUAUGGUAGAGCUGUUUAUGAAUGUCUUCGCGGGGGACUUGAUUUUACCAAAGACGAUGAAAACAUGAACUCCCAACCAUUUAUGCGUUGGAGAGAUCGUUCCUGCUUUUGUGCUGAAGCGCUUUAUAAAGCACAGGCAAAAACAGGUGAAAUCAAAGGGCAUUACUUGAAUGCUACUGCAGGUACAUGCGAAGAAAUGAUCAAAAGAGCUGUAUUUGCUAGAGAAUUAGGAGUUCCUAUCGUAAUGCAUGAUUACUUAACAGGGGGAUUUACUGCAAAUACUAGCUUGGCCCAUUAUUGCCGAGAUAAUGGCCUACUUCUUCACAUCCACCGCGCAAUGCAUGCGGUUAUUGAUAGACAGAAGAAUCAUGGUAUGCACUUCCGCGUACUAGCUAAAACGUUACGUAUGUCUGGUGGAGAUCAUGUUCACGCCACUAGAACUACCCAGAUCCAUACCUACAAAUAUUAAUUCAUUAGUUAACCGGCAUUUCAGCUUACAAUAUAUCAUUCAUGUUAAAACAAUCAAAUAUGCCUAGUGCCAAUCACAUAUGUUCCACUUGUCCAAGUCCUCUAACCUAGGCACUCUAAUACCACCUGUGACGCCCCCGCUUCUCGCCCUAGGGUAUCGGCGGGAUGCCUGCCUAGCUCGUACCAGGACUCGAAACACAAAGCUAAUAAAACUAUAAUAAACCAAAGAGUACUAUUUAUAAUAUAUACAACCGCCAAAAGUUCUAUUUACAUCUUCAAAAGUAUCUGGUCAAACCACUAUACUACAGUGUGAUAACAACCAGCAGGAAGUAGACCCUCAGGAGGGUCCUUAUACAAACCACCAAAACAAAAAUAUACAUCUUAAUUGUCCAACUAUUACAAGCAGACCUAACUAUACUGGUGAAUGUGCCCAGGCGUUCCCCGUGUCGUCCCCUGCUAAGGAAAACAAAGGAAACGGAGUAAGCUAUAUGCUUAGUAAGUAAACAGGGGUAAAAUCAUAAAUUUCACAGUUAGAUAAACAACUAUUUCACAAAAGUGUCAAGUCAAGUGCAAAAGUAACAAUAAAAAGGAAGGAUACAGGUUGGCUCCAAAGCCAAGUCGUUCGCCAUGCGUGACGUCCUGCCGACACUCUGUCGAUCAUAAACAAGGUCCGUAGAACUCUACUUGUACUCCCACCUAACACCUUAUCACCCUCACUGGCCAGUCACCUCACAAACUUGCUCAAGCGAACGAAAUUGAGCUUGUACAAGCUCAGUUCACAAACUUGGUUCACAUGCUCGGUGAACCGGAUUCACAAAUUUGGUGACCUCAGACUAGGUUGCACUGACUUCGACCAAGCCCUAACCGGCUCGAAUAGUCCAUCUAGGUGUUGAGAUCGACCUCAAACUCACAAACCUCACAAAAUUACCCAAAAGUCACCCUGAGCUACAAGCUCGAGGGUUUUAGUUCCAAAAUGGUUCAUAUACAUAUGUCAUGUACAAAUACGUGAGCAAAUUAGGGUUUAGGUCGAGUGCGAUAAAGUACACCCUCGCCUAGGUACCCUUUUCAUACAAAUCAUAAAACAUAAGCAACUAACGCAUAAGAAUGGCUUGAAUACUUACUCAAAACACAAAAGUCGUACAAGAGCAGAAAUCACUUCGUGCGUGUUAGCUAGUAGGCCCCACCAGCUCCGCUUAACUCACCACGGUCUGAAAUAGAAGAUUGCAUCUCAUUAUAUACAAAUGGCCACUAACAUGCCCAAAACAAGAAAAACGGCAAAAUCGGCACAUGCAAGUGCGGAAACGGCAAAAUGGACACGCGCGCGUGCGGAACGGCAAACGGAAAUGGCCAAAUCUGCCAUCUCAAACCGUUUUGAUCAAAAGUUAGGCUAGGAAUAUCGGAUCAAGGUGGGUGAGACACCGUUUCGAAGCUACGAGGAAGGGCUAAAACUUAUAUUUAAACAUCUAAACCUAGAUCUCAAUAGAUAUUGGUCAAAAGGGCACAAAAUAGUUCCAGCUAUCUCAUUUCGGUUUACCGAACAGGCCCUGUUUGAAAGACCGUAACUCACGGCUCAGAAAUCAGAAUCAAGAAAUUCUAGAGGUGUUAGAAAGCUCAUCCAUAAGGCUAUAACUUUUGUGUUCAGACUAAAAACUGAAUCAAUACAGAGCAUGGAGGAAAACGGGUCUAAACAUUCCUGUCAGAACUGUCCAAAUUCGAAGGCAGUUCUGACAACCGAUCUUGUUUCUGUCAUAACUGAAGCUACGGAACUCGGAUUUGGAUGAACUUUAUACCAUUUCAAAUCUAAGACCAAGAUCUACAUUUCUUAUGAAGAGGUCAACACCCAGUUCAUACAUUAUCAAAACGGACAGAACCUGGUCAGAGGCUAAAACAAGAAACGCGGCAGAAUUCUGAGUUUAGAAUAGAUGCGACUAUUUUGGCCAUAACUCAGGCUACACUAAUCCGUUUGACCUGAAAUUUUGCAGGAAUAUUAAAUACAUAAGGGGUUACAACUUUCAUGUUUUGAGAAACUUCUGAAUCAGCAUGCAGCAUCAAGAAAAAUGGAGCUUAAGUUCAGGUCCUGGGCUGCCCUGUUUGGGGUUUUAAACGGUUCCGCGCAACGCAAACGCAUGGUUUGUUUUUGUGGUUCUCAUGCAAGUUUUCUAACUACUUUCAUACCAAAUAAACACACAUAUACUAACUUCUAAAUGACCUACCAAUGGUCCAAAGUUCUCCCUCUAAGCCACUACAAAAUUGCCAAAACUAACCAUGAUCCUUAAACUAACUUUAUUUGCAUCACCAAACUUAAUCCAACCACCUACUAACCAAACCCUAACUAACUAAACCUUAGCCAAGCUAAACCAACCUAAGGAAGCCUAGGGUUUCAUACUCCAAAUCAGUUUUUACCAUCCACUCACCAAACAAAUAAAACAAAUCAUCAAACACAACCAUUACAAUCUUCAUAGCACAAAAUUAGAGCUAAUUAACUUGUUUAGCAUGAAACCCUAAUUUCUCUUGAGUUGACCGAAAUUUCAGCAACAAAACAUCAUCAAGAUGAACCAUUAAAUUCUAUAUAAUCAUCAUCUACAUCAUAUAAGAUCAUAAAACAACAAAAGCAUCACUUUUCAUGGAUUCAAGACUUAAGCACCAAACAUUAACUUCCAAGAGAGUUGACUUACCUCCUAGUUGCAAGUUUCUUAGGGUGAUCUUCCAAAACCCAAGCCCCAAGUUGUUCCUCCAAGAUCCAAACUCAAAGUUGAUGAAAACAAAUGCAAGAAACAAAAGCUUUUCUCUUCCUUUUUCUUUCUCUCAAAUCCGGCCCUCUCUCUCUCUUUUUCUCUCUUAUUUUUGUUGUUUAAUAACUUGGUUUUCUCUUGAAUCUUCUAGAUAUAAGCUUAGUCAUAAGCCUAGUCAAGACAUGAGAAGAUAUUUUCUACUACACUAAUCACAUAAAAGCUCCCAAUUUGCUCUCAAGCCCUUACACCUUCAACUUUGCCUUUGAUCAACUCUUGCCCAUAACAUUUAGAACUCUUUCAAUUUACUCCAUAGGUUGUAAACUUAAUCUAGUCCAAAACAUGUAAUCACACUUAAUUGCUUCACUAAUCACUUACCUAUCUUAAUUACCUAUACUUAAGCAUACUUUAUCUUACAUAAAAGCAAUUAAACAACAAUAUUUUGUCAAGGGCAAAAUUAGGGUUUAAACCCAAAUAAAAACUUCUAAAAAAAUCAUAACACUAGAGAUUUACUCAUUUAGGGUUUCUAACCUUCUUAAACUUAUUUAACCUAUAUAAAAUAGAUCAAAUCCUAUACUUACCUAUACUAAACACACACUAGCAUAACUAGCUUUAAUCACCACUCGAACUUAUAAUUAAUACAAAAACUAAGGUUUCAAUGCUAACCCCAACUUAGGGUUUUCGAAGUAUUCCUAAUAUCAACUUAAGAACAGACUGGGGCCUCACAAUCUCCCCCACUUAGAACAAUUUCGUCCUCGAAAUUGAUACCGUUGUUCGUGAACCAUAAUUGCAGGAUUUACAAGAAUACGUGUCGUCAGGGUCUAUUAAACACUUGCGGUGCACCGAUAAAAAAAGGCGUACCUUCGAUGCUCGCCGAAGGGUCUAACAUCUCUUGUUGACCCAUUGCAUAGAUUCUAGCUGGUCCUCUGGAUCAAUUUUCCCCCACACUCGACGGCUUAGCUGCGGUCCCUUCAGUCGGUGGCUUAGGUCUCUCUUUUUGCAUCUUAGGGCAUUGGGCAAUCAAAUGUUUUGCACUACCACAUUUAUAGCAUUUUCGGAUCGAACUGUUCUUACAACAGUUUUCGUCGGUGUGAUUGGCUCCGCAGAAACCACAGAUUGGCUUAACACCCGCACUUGACCCUCCACGCAGGGCAUUCCUCUGGGGCUCUUGCCCUACCUGACCUCUCCCGAAAUUAUUCAGAAUCCUUGCAGGUCGUGGACCAUCUGUUCCUUUACUCGUCUUAAAAGGUGACUCAUUUCUCGAGUUUUGUCCAGUCGCAACGUCGGAGCUAGGUGGCUUUCUUUUUCGGUCAUGGAAAGCUUUUACUUGUCCCCUAGCUGUCUCAAUUCUUUGUGCCUUUUCUAGUGCCUGACUAAAUGUGUCCAGUUGUGCAACCGCUAGUGCCUCCUGGAUUUCCACAUUUAAACCUUGAACGAAGCGGCGGAUUCGUUUUUGCUCUGUUAGCAUCAACUCUGGAGCAAAACGGGAGAGCUUUGUAAACUGGGUCUUGUAUUCCGCUACAUUAAAUGUCCCUUGAUGUAGGCGGAUAAAAUCAUCUUCCCGUUUCUCUUGUACGAUGGGAGGUAAAUAUUUUUCAUUAAAUUCUUGCGUAAAAUUAACCCAUGUCCAGGGAGUCUGUUCCCGCUCCCACUUAGUUCUAAUCACAUUCCACCAAGCUGGGACGGGCUUCAAACUUAAAAACGGCAAAAGAUAUCUGCCGCUCCUCCGAGUACCUAAGUGCGGCAAAUAUAUCUAACAUACGGUCCAGUCAACCUUCUGCUAAGUCAGGGUCGACCCCACCUAUAAACUUUGGAGGUGCAAAUUUUUGGAACCGUUCCAAGGCACGGUCCUCACCUUCGUGAUUACCUAGAUUAUUUUCAAGGUUUCCUGUAGUAUUCCCAUGGCCCUGACCCUGAUGGUCAACCAUACGUUCUAACAGGUCAGCCAUCCCCUGGAUAGCUGUAGCCACUUGAUCUGGCUCGUGUUCGUGUUCCCUUUCAGGGCUUCGUCCUCGCCCUUUACCUCUACCUCUAUCUCGAGUACCGGAGGCCAUUUAGGUGCAAGAGUUUAUAAAUCCAAGCAUAACGUGUGCUUAAUAUUCAAACGAGAAACGAAAUAAAAACACAAAACAAAUGCACGAAAGGCAUGCAAAGGAUAAGUGCAAACGAUAAUACUCAAAUAUACAAAUUUAUUUACAACCUACACCAAAAAUUAUACAAUUUAGCCCACAUCCAGUCGGUACAAAACCCUUUAAAUACAUGAGCAUCCGAGCUCCAAAAAUCUAGUUAGCCAGCAGAUAACCAAAAAAACCAGCUAUAUUGGUUAGAACAAAACAUGUCAGAUGAACAAAAAGAAGCCAAAUAACGGCCCUACGCGGCUUCCCUAGGCCCCCAAUCCCUGACGGAACCUAGGGUAUCUACCUCGCCGAUCUGCUCUGGGCCAGCAACUCGUGGUGGUGCCUCCGCGGCCAUAUCUAGUAAGACCCCACAGUCAAACGUAAUACUCCGGGCCCUCUCCCUAAACUGCCUCUUCAAAGCAAAGAGGUGCCGGUGUGUGUCUCAUAGGUCCCGCUCCAAGUCCCUAAUGCGCAACGCCUGCCCAUGGCUAAACUCUCUAGCCUCCUCUAGCUGUGCCCUCAAAGUGUCGACCGUCCGGCCUAGGUGAUGACGCUCGUCAUCCACCGCCAAGACAACCUCGUCGGGAUAGUCAUAUGUAUACCAACACCCACAGGGUCAGCGCGGCACCUGACCAAAGGGGGAAUACAAAAUGUAGGGCUCCCCAAGCCUCCUCCGAUAGCGGAUCACCCGCUUACGCAACACCCGGUCCUCCGGGCCCCUCGCACUCGGAGGUCUCGAUCCCGAUCCCACUCCGCUAGGUCCAACGCCACUAGAACUACCCAGAUCCAUACCUACAAAUAUUAAUUCAUUAGUUAACCGGCAUUUCAGCUUACAAUAUAUCAUUCAUGUUAAAACAAUCAAAUAUACCUAGUGCCAAUCACAUAUGUUCCACUUGUCCAAGUCCUCUAACCUAGGCACUCUAAUACCACCUGUGACGCCCCCGCUUCUCGCCAUAGGGUAUCGGCGGGACGCCUGCCUAGCUCGCGCCAGGACUCGAAACACAAAGCUAAUAAAACUAUAAUAAACCAAAGAGUACUACUUAUAAUAUAUACAACUGCCAAAAGUUCUAUUUACAUCUUUAAAAGUAUCUGGUCAAACCACUAUACUACAGUGUGAUAACAACCAGCAGGAAGUAGACCCUCAGGAGGGUCCUUAUACAAACCACCAAAACAAAAACAUACAUCUUAAUUGUCCAACUAAUACAAGCAAACCUAACUAUACUAGUGAAUGUGCCCAGGCGUUUCCCGUGUCGUCCCCUGCUAAGAAAAACAAAGGAAACGGGGUAAGCUAUAUGCUUAGUAAGUAAACAGGGGUAAAAUCAUAAAUUUCAUAGUUAGAUAAACAACUAUUUCACAAAAGUGUCAAGUCAAGUGCAAAAGUAACAAUACAAAGGAAGGAUAUAGGUUGGCUCCAAAGCCAAGUCGUUUGCCAUGCGUGACCUCCUGCCGACACUCUGUCAAUCAUAAACAAGGUCCGUAGAACUUCACUUGUACUCCCACCUCACACCUUAUCACCCUCACUGGCCAGUCACCUCACAAACUUGCUCGAGCGAACGAAAUUGAGCUUGGUUCACAAGUUCGGUUCACAAACUUGGUUCACAUGCUCGGUGAACCGGAUUCACAAACUUGGUGACCUCGGACUAGGCUGGACUGACUUCGACCAAGCCCUAACCGGCUCGAAUAGUCCAUCUAGGUCUUGAGAUUGACCUCAAACUCACAAACCUCAAAAAAUUACCCAAAUGUCACCCUGAGCUACAAGCUCGAGGGUUUUAGUUCCAAAAUGGUUCAUAUACAUAUGUCAUGUACAAAUACGUGAGCAAAUUAGGGUUUAGGUCGAGUGCGAUAAAGUACACCCUCGCCUAGGUACCCUUUUCAGACAAAUCAUAACACAUAAGCAACUAACGCAUAAGAAUGGCAUGAAUACUUACUCAAAACACAAAAGUAGUACAAGAGCAGAAAUCACUUCGUGCGUGUUAGCUAGUAGGCCCCACCAGCUCCGCCUAACUCACCACGGUCUGAAAUAGAAGAUUGCAUCUCAUUAUAUCACAAAUGGCCACUAACAUGCCCAAAACAAGUAAGACGGCAAAAUCGGCACAUGCAAGUGCGGAAACGGCAAAAUAGACACGCGCGCGCCAAAUGAGCAGCAAAUGGAAACGGCCAAAUCUGCCAUCUCAAACCGUUUUGAUCAAAAGUUAGGCUAGGAAUAUCGGAUCAAGGUGGGUAGACACCGUUUCGAAGCUACAAGGAAGGGCUACAACUUUUAUUCAAACAUCUCAACCCAGAUCUCAAUAGGUAUUGGUCAAAAAGGCACAAAAUAGUUCCAGCUAUCUCAUUUCGGUUUACCGAACAGGCCCUGUUUGAAAGACCGUAACUCACGGCUCAGAAGUCGGAAUCAAGAAAUUCCAGAGGCGUUAGAAAGCUCAUCUGUAAGGCUAUAACUUUCGUGUUUAGACUAAAAACUGAAUCAAUACAGAGCAUGGAGGAAAAUGGGUCUAAACAUUCCUGUCAGAACUGUCCAAAUUCGAAGGCAGUUCUGACAACCGAUCUUGUUUCGGUCAUAACUGAAGCUACGGAACUCGGAUUUGGAUGAACUUUAUACCGUUUCGAAUCUAAGACCAAGAUCUAUCUACAUUUCUUAUGAAGAGGUCAACAGUCAGUUCAUACGUUAUCAAAAUGGACAGAACCUGGUCAGAGGCUAAAACAAGAAACGCGGCAGAAUUCUGAGUUUAGAAUAGAUACGGCUAUUUUGGCCAUAACUCAGGCUACACUAAUCCGUUUGACCUGAAAUAUUUCAGGCAUAUUUAGGACAUAAGAGGCUACAACUUUCAUGUUUUGAGAAACUUCUGAAUCAGCACGCAGCAUCAAGAAAAAUGGAGCUUAAGUUCAUGUUCUGGGCUGCCCUGUUUGGGUUUUGAACGGUUCCGCGCAACGCAAAUGCAUGGUUCAUUUUUGUGGUUCUCAUGCAAGUUUUCUAACUACUUUCAUACCAAAUAAACACACAUAUACUAACUUCUAAAUGACCUACCAAUGGUCCAAAGUUCUCCCUCUAAGCCACUACAAAAUUGCCAAAACUAACCAUGAUCCUUAAACUAACUUUAUUUGCAUCACCAAACUUAAUCCAACCACCUACUAACCAAACCCUAACUAACUAAACCUUAGCCAAGCUAAACCAACCUAAGGAAGCCUAGGGUUUCAUACUCCAAAUCAGUUUUUACCAUCCACUCACCAAACAAAUAAAACAAAUCAUCAAACACAACCAUUACAAUCUUCAUAGCACAAAAUUAGAGCUAAUUAACUUGUUUAGCAUGAAACCCUAAUUUCUCUUGAGUUGACCGAAAUUUCAGCAACAAAACAUCAUCAAGAUGAACCAUUAAAUUCUAUAUAAUCAUCAUCUACAUCAUAUAAGAUCAUAAAACAACAAAAGCAUCACUUUUCAUGGAUUCAAGACUUAAGCACCAAACAUUAACUUCCAAGAGAGUUGACUUACCUUCUAGUUGCAAGUUUCUUAGGGUGAUCUUCCAAAACCCAAGCCCCAAGUUGUUCCUCCAAGAUCCAAACUCAAAGUUGAUGAAAACAAAUGCAAGAAACAAAAGCUUUUCUCUUCCUUUUUCUUUCUCUCAAAUCCGGCCCUCUCUCUCUCUUUUUCUCUCUUAUUUUUGUUGUUUAAUAACUUGGUUUUCUCUUGAAUCUUCUAGAUAUAAGCUUAGUCAUAAGCCUAGUCAAGACAUGAUAAGAUAUUUUCUACUACACCAAUCACAUAAAAGCUCCCAAUUUGCUCUCAAGCCCUUACACCUUCAACUUUGCAUUUGAUCAACUCUUGCCCAUAACAUUUAGAACUCUUUCAAUUUACUCCAUAGGUUGUAAACUUAAUCUAGUCCAAAACAUGUAAUCACACUUAAUUGCUUCACUAAUCACUUUUCUAUCUUAAUUACCUAUACUUAAGCAUACUUUAUCUCACAUAAAAGCAAUUAAACUACAAUAUUUUGUCAAGGGCAAAAUUAGGGUUUAAACCCAAAUAAAAACUUCUAAAAAAAUCAUAACACUAGAGAUUUACUCAUUUAGGGUUUCUAACCUUCUUAAACUUAUUUAACCUAUAUAAAAUAGAUCAAAUCCUAUACUUACCUAUACUAAACACACACUAGCAUAACUAGCUUUAAUCACCACUCGAACUUAUAAUUAAUACAAAAACUAAGGUUUCAAUCCUAACCCCAACUUAGGGUUUUCGAAGUAUUCCUAAUAUCAACUUAAGAACAGACUGGGGCCUCACAGAUACCCUUAUGGAAAUGAGAGAACAUCACCAUGGACUUCGUUUCUGGAUUACCUAAGACUCAAAAAGGACAUGAUGCUGUUUGGGUGAUCGUUGACCGGUUAACCAAAUCGGCUCAUUUCUUACCUGUGAAUAUGAAUUAUUCCAUGGAUAAGUUGGCUCGGUUGUAUAUGGAUGAGGUUGUGAGAUUACAUGGGGUUCCCGUGAGUAUAGUUUCCGACCGAGACCCUCGAUUUGUAUCGACGUUUUGCCAAAAAUUUCAAGAGACCUUGGGAAUGAAACUUGUGAGGACCCAGACCGUUCGUACGUUGAGAGUAGGGUUAUUCAUUAUUUGGUACGGUUAAAUUAAGGUUUUAGGGCUAAGGAGAAACCCUAAUCUCGGCCAAGAUUGAAAACCCUAACUUUGCUUUUGAUAAAACCCUAGUUUAUGUAUUAUUCGUAAACUCGAGCUAUAGUUUAUAUGCGAUAUCCUAGUGUGUGUUUUGGCAUAUGUAAGUUUAGGAUUCGUUUUAGUUUACAAAGGUUUAGCAAGUUUGAAAUGGUUAGCAAACCUCUAGUGUUACAAAUUAUUAGAAAGUUUAAGUGGAAGAUUAUUUAUCGCCCGCCUUUUCUACAUUUUCUUUAUUAGAAAAUUCCCCAAAUAAUUUUAGGGAGUAAAUAUAGUUUUUAGAUGAUUUUUCUAGUAUCCGUUAGUUUUUAAGAAAUUAAGGACGCAUAUCGGACGUGGGACCCACUAGUGCGGAAAGUUCGGUAAAAUUCGGCCAAUUAGGUUAAGUUCUGGAUACUGGAUUUAAUUUAUCGGGUGUUAUGAGAUAAUUGAAGGUUGCUAUAUGGAUGAGAGUGGAGAGAGACAAAGUGAUAGAGAUGCAUUUAAUGAGGUGACAAGUGUCACCAUAGGGUUGGUAGGAACUUUGACCAUUCUUUCUUGUUUUAUUAUUUGACUUCAAUAAAUAAAAAAAAAAUUGACCAAAAAUCCCUCAAAACAUAGCAAGCUUGGCCGGCUCUCUUCCUUGAAGAAACAAGAAAAACCUCUCUCAAUUCCUUGCUCCAAUCUUGCCCAAUCUCUCAAUUAAACCGAUUAAUCUCCCAAUUACUCCAUAAAACCUCUUAGUUUGGUGGAGUUAAGCUUGGUUGUGAAGUUGUUUGGAAGCUUAAGGUGCUAAGUGGUCUCUCUUCUUUGGUUCUAAGGUGAGUGACUAUGGAACCCCUCUCUUCUAUCUAGAGAUGCUUAAUUAAUGACUUGUGGUUGUUAUAAGUGUGAUUUGGUGGACUAUUUCUUGAUUUUAGUUAAGAUUGAUGAAGUAUUCUAUUUAUUUGGGAUUUUUGCUGGUUGCAUAUGAUUAAUAUUAUGUGGCUAUGUAUGAUGAUUGGAAAUGAUUGAGAAUGAAGCUAGUUGUUGUGAAUGGUAGUUAAUUGCAAGAAAUUUCUGUUUUGGAAGAGAAAUUGGGAAUUAGGGUUUCAUUGUUCUUCAUUUCUGUCCGGUUUUGUAUCUCCUAGUUAGAGGCCGAAUUUAAAGAGAAUACUUCGAAUAUACAAGCCAAAUUCUUCUAAGGCUACCAUUUACAAUUACAAUCCAAGAACCCAAAUAUAACAAAGUUUACACUUCAAAUGUCUCCAAUAUCUUACAAAAGAUUUACUAGUUUCAACUAAAAAUUGAUAGUCUAGAGUCCCCAACUUCCACUUCCAAAACCUGUUAAGAAAAAAACUUAAGGUGAGCUAAUGCUCAGUGAGGCCAAGAAAAUCAAGCAAACAAGCAAGUAGCACGAACCAAAUCAAAUAGCACACUUAAAACGAAUUAACAUGAACUUCAUAUAAGUGACCAAGUGGAAGUAAAACACAAGUAAAAAUGAUACAGGAGCUCUCAGGAGCUAUUCCCACAUCUCGACCGAUUCGAGCCAGUUUUUGUUGACCCUCCAUCAAUUCAAGUAGCAACAUGUCCGUAGAACUCUAUUUAUUUCCUCCAUCCACCAUAACACCCACUUGGAUCCGAAACCAAACAAGCAAGAGUUGGCAAUACCAUUCGAGUAUGCUAAGCAAGAUCUCAAAAGAUCAAACUAUAAAAUUUUCCAAGGUUCACCAAAUUUCUUGAUCAAGCCCUUGCCGGUUUGAGUUACGAGGUUAGCCAAUGGGUCGGGCGUCCUCACAAGUAUAAUUGGUCGAUGAGACAACACUCCAAUCGACUUAGAAUCAAUAAUAGCACUGAGUCGGAAUGAGAGGCACCUCCCACCUGAAAUAGAGUAUGGUACAUGCUGCUGCUCAGUGCUCACGAGUUAAAAGCAUAUUCAAGUACAAGUGCAAGUCAUACAAAUUCAUAUAACAAGUAGCAAUUAUUCAAGAGGGAGAGGACGACUGCGAUAAAGUACACCCUCGCCUCGACAAGUUCACAAGAGUCACAUAGCACUUGUACAAAUAUUAUUUCAAUCAUAGCAAUAAGAAGCAUGCACUUGACACUCACCAAAAGUCAAGAGCAAAACGAGACCAAAAGCAAGAGCUCAAACGAGCUCCUCGAUGUCCACGUGAUCACCUGAGAUGUGCACAAUCACGGUUACCUAGGUACUCGACCAAGGCUAAUAAGAAAAAUUUUUCUUGCUACCCACACUUAAAAACCACAAGUUCAAGUCAAAUUAAAGGAGAUUUUCUCGCUUAAUUAAUGAAAUAAUACUCAAGAAGGACUCAAAAUUCAUUUUCGAGUCAAGUCGUGGCAAAAAAUUUCAAUUUCAAAAGUACCAUACUUAAUUUUUGGCAUGAAAAUUGACGAAGGAAAACUGAUUUUCAUAUCUUAAAACUUCCAAUCCUAUGCCCAAGUUUUAGAAUAUAAAUGAGUGCUCACGUUUUCUAAACUUAUGAAGUCAAAAUUCAUCAAAAGCAUCACUUAUUUCAUGGUAAAUAUUGAAGUUAAAAGUUCCAAGUUUCAAAUAUAAAGCUAGUGAAGUUCCUCAAGAAUUACUUUAGUUAAAACGCUCCAUUUAUGGUUCAUUUUCAUGAAAACCGAGGGCAUAAGACUAGGAGGUGAAAUCCAUUUCUCAAAUUUGAAAUGAGGUGCAAAUAAUCAAGAAAGUUAGGCUUGAAACCUAGAAAAUGCCCCCAAGCCACUUUUUAAGCUUUUGCCGCUUUAUAGAGAAAAUUCAGUUUUGGUAAUCUUUUUGAAAAAUCAUAACUUGAGUUCUAUAAGUCCAAAAAUUGCAAAUCUUAUACCGUUGGAAAAUAGGCUCAAUGAACUAAACUCUCUAGAAGACACUUUUUCCAUAUUCAAAUCUAAAUUCAGUCAAAUCUUAGCUCAAAAUUGCUGCUUUAGUAAAAACAGGGCAAAAACAGUCUUGAAUUUCAGGGAACUUUGAAAAUUUGUCAAAAUUCAUAGCAAUCGAACUAGCCUCUAAAAUUUUUACCACUGAAAGAACUUCAAAUCUAGUUUCAAAUGGAACAAACAGAACUCAAUUUAUACUUUUCUACGCCAAGGUACAACAGUUUUUCAAAAGCUGAUUUUUGAAACUUGAAAUACGAAAUUCCAGCUUUGGAACACCCGAUGCAAUUUCUAAAUUAGGUCAUAACUAAGGCUACACAAGUCCAAAAUUAGUGUAGUUUAUGGUCUUGAAAACUAUAUUCAAAAUACUAAAACUCACUAGAAGGAACUGUCUUCAAAUUCAUUUUGUAAGGGGGGUGAAAUCGAGUUACAAACUGCAGCUGUGCUUAUCUCGUGGUUAAAACAGUAAGAGAAAACAACCAAUUUUGCCGGUUCACUGCGAUUCAUAGAAAAUGAACUAGCAGGUGUAUUUUAUACCGUUAGAAAGCUCUCGAGUCUAGUUUCACAUGCCAUAAACGGAACUUGAUUUUGACUCCUGUAUGAAAAAUUACGUGCUGUUUAGUGCAUACUAGUUGGCUAUCCUGAUAAAAAUUUCCAGGUUUGGUUCCCUCUUUUAAACUUAACUUUAACUCAUUCAAAUGAAAUGAUUUUUGGAAGAUAAUUUACACACAUAUAACCCAACAUGUAGCAAGCAUUUUUACAUCAAUUUUGAUGUGUGCACGGAUGGCGACCUUAACUCAAGGCUUUCAUAGAGACAUUGAAGGCUUGAAGGCUGAUCAUCAAGUUGUCUACACCAUGAUCCAAGCCCAUGAAGAGUCAAGCGGACCUCCAAGCGAGUUGGCCGAAUAGGGCCUUAGGCCUUAGUGUUUAGUUGAGAGUUAGAUUAGUUGUUCUAGUAGAGCAUGGGCCGGCCCAUCUUGAUCCAAGAUGGCCGAAUUCCCCUACCCUAUUUCCCUUAGGUUUUAGUAGCCAAUAGCUUAUAAAAAGGCUUGCUUUGUAAGGUUUUGAGGUAGUCGCUUUAUCAAUAAAGUUUGAUUAAUUUCGAUUCUUCUUGUUAAGAGAGAUUCGAGCCUUUUUACUUGCUUUGGCAAGGGUUGUAAGAAUGGUUGUUAAAAUCGCGAUCCAGAUCGUAGGAUCGUAUGAUCCUACAAUCCGGAAAGGUAAAAUCGAUCCGGAUCGCACUCAGAAUCACAAAUUCCUUGAAUCUAUAUAGGAUCGAGGUAGGAUCGGUAGGAUCGCAUAGAAUCGUACGAUCCUACUUCGAUCCUACAAAUUUUUGCUAAUUUGUGGAAUACAAGGUUCAUUUUGCAAUUAAAAAUCAACAUUUAGGUAGGCUUGUAAGUUCACACUCAAUUGCAGGCCUUAGUUGCAAUGUUUUAACAAAUUUUGCCUCAAAGUCAAAGAUUCCGUCAAAAAGCUUCGGGCCUUCUUCAUCUUCCCCUCAAGCAGAGCUUUGACGUUUCUCUUCUGCUCUUCGCUGCCCAAAUCAAAUCCCUAAUUUUAACCAUCAAACCACCUCAAGCUUCGACUACAGCUCUUACCAAGAACCCACAAGACAAAUCGCUGCGGCUUCUACCAAGAACCCACAAGCUACAGCCGAUAGCUAUUGCAGAAAAAGUUCAUCUUCUGCAUUGGGUGAAAAGCUGAGCAGCAAAAUCAUCAUCUUCCUCUCUCAUACCCAUACUACUUUGUAAGCGUUUAAACAUGAGUGCAAUAGUGACUAAUUAAUGGCGUGUGAAAUUAGGAUGGAAAUGUACAAAUUUUACCUUUUCUCAAGCUUUUUUCGUUUACAUUGUAGGAAAUUAUAUGAUACCAGGAAUUCUAUUCUGUUGGAUGGUGCUCCUAUUUUUUUUUCUCAAUAAUUGAAAUUUGUAUUUGGCAACUUUAAUUAGUGAAACCACAGGAAGUUUUAAAUGCUUGAAUUAAAUGAUGAAAUGAAAUCUAAUGCCAGAACUUUUUCUGCCCAUUUAAUAUUUGAGCUUUAUAUAUAUAUAUAUAUAUAUAUUAUUAAGUUUUUGUAAUGAAUGUUCAAUAUUUGAUCGUUAACACAUUCAAUUCACACCUAUUACGUAUAUGCACUUCUAACACGGAUAACCUUUUUUUAUAUUCAUAUAUAUACCUUUUUUGAUUAAUAUUACUUUUCUAAAAAUUUCAUACUUCAACUACGUACAUAUUUUUCAUUAAUUCGAAAUUGUAAACAUAUUAUUGAUCUUUUGUGAUUGGCAAUUGGCAAUCAAAACAUUCUUGAAAUGCUGUCGGCUGUAACUUCUUCAUCUUUUUAUUACUUGUCAGAUAGUAAGUAAAAAAUGCUAUAUAUUGAUGAGUAACUUAUUUAUUUGAUAUCUUUUAGGAUGUACAAAAUGGUAUAUGAAUUUCAAUUUCAUUAAUUUAGUAAAUUUAGGAGCUUUUGGUGGGAUCUUACGAUCCUACGAUCCGAUUCUGUGAAACUAAAAUCGAUCCUAUGUGGAAUCCCGAUUUUACAAACCUUGGCAAUCUUGCAUCUUGUUCUAGAUUGUUUUACCGACCUAUCUAUUAGAGUAAUCACCUCUGUGGAGUCGUCGUUCUACUGCCUAUAAUCAAAUCAUGUCGUCUGUUUGAUUCUAGGUUCCGCAAUCCAAGCGUUGGACCACCUCGCUAGUGUGACGACCCCACUUUCUUCUAGGGCGUACCCUAAAAGUUAGCGGAUCGCCUGCCUGACUCUCGCCAGGACUCACUCACUUACCUUAACUUCAGAGAUAACAUUAUCAUUGAACAACUGAACAUUCAUUCUUAAAUACAACUCUAAUCAGCUUGAACACAAAUUCGUCCUAUAAACGAAACACAAUAUAUGUUCUAAACAUCCAUUCUUAAUAUUUCACCAACUCAAAACAGAAGAUUCAACCAUCAUAAAAUACAAAAGAAAACGUGACUCCAAUAUAUACACAUAGUGAUGGAUCUUCCCAAAAUAACUUUCCAAUUUUAUCGGAUCACUUUUCAAUCUCCAACUCUUGUAAGGAAAACAAAGCUAAAAGGUUGAGCUAAACCCCAGUGAGGUUUGCCGAGCAAGUAACAUUUAAUAAACACUGAAAUCGGUACAAUUAACCAAGUAAUGCAAAUUUCACUAUACAAUCACUUUCAUUAAACAAUUGAGGAAACACUUCACUAAACAAUCACUUUUAAAGGAUAUGGUGCUCGCAUUAGAGCCACUUCAAUGCACUACACACUCCGCCGAAAUCCUCCUUAUAACCUCCAAAACAGUAAACACUUCCCUCACUUAGAUGGCCAUAUCAAUAUUGGUAAUCUGCUACUCCGUGGUAAUACUCGAGCAUAUCGAAAGACUUACCCAAAGCUACCGUCCUACCCGACCAAGCCCUUUGCUGGCUCGAAUAGUCCGUUGAACAGAGGGUUUUGGGGCCCAGUUCAGCUAGUGUGAUAAGGUACACACAUGGCUUACAGUCAUGCACACUUACAAUAUCACUUGAUCAAUUAUCAACCUUCAAGCUCAACUAAGCCGAGUGCGAUAAAGUACACCCUCGCCUUUGAAGGCGAGGGACAAUUGAGAUACACUUUACAAUGAAUCACUUAGCAACAUUCCAUAAUAAGCGCAUUUAUCACAUAAUUUCACCUAAAUAAACAUAAACAGUUAAACACAUAAAUUCGGAAACACUCACCAAUUAUUCAAGUAACUCGAGCUUCGGGUCUGUUUCUUGGUUCGCAGCUACUUCCUGAGAUCAAUAUAUAAUUCCAAGGUAAAUCUACAAUUUGUUGCUAUCUACCUAUUAUUUAAAUCAUUUGAAUUAGGUUUGACUUUAAAUAUAACUAUAACAUAUUCAAUAUUUAUUUUAUUUUAUUGUCUAAACUAUUAAAAUCAAGUUUGACCCUAAAUGCAAAAUAUACGCGAUAUGUAUACCCCAAUAUUUAUUUUCCAAUUUAGUUCGAAACUCCUUGACUUUAUUAUCUUAAAUCAAGAUACAUACGUAUUUUCCGAGUUAAUAAUUUAUAAAAUAUUUAUUUUAGAAUUAAAUCAUUUUUCACUCAAGAUUCUAGAAUUAAGGCUUACAAGUACUCCAUUGGUCCCUUUUUAAUUAAUGAAUCCCUAGGUUAUUUGGUAAUUAGAUUUUAUUCCACUACACCAGUCCCUCAAAUUUUAUAGUCUUUAAAUUAUUUGUAAAGACAGUAUUAAGUAAUUAGAAGCCAAUUUAAUUAUCAUGAGUUUUCCUCUCAUUUGCUUUAGUUUAACUCUACUUGUGGAGCUAUAUAUAGCUAUUAAAUCUCAGACUAACCGUAACUAUCAUUUAUGAAAGCUUACAAAGUUGAAAAUUAGAGGAAAUGCUGGUUAAAAGUUGGUUCCUCACGGUUUGCAUCUUGGCAAAGUGCAUUCGGGAACAAAAGGAAAGGCAGCUUUGCCAUCCUCGGUGUUUUGAUCAUAAUUGGAGCUACGCUUAUCGGAUUGAGGCGAAUUUUAUAGCGUUUCGAAGCUAAGACCUAGACCUACAUUUCCUAUGAAGACAUCGACAUCCAGUUAUCGCGUUUUCAAGGCCAAAAUGGGAUGGUCAGAAGCACAAUCUGUUUCAUUUAUCGGACAGCAACCAAAACUAGUAACGUUACUUCAAGCUUUCGGCGAAAACGCUAUUCUUUCACUUGCUUAAAGCUCUAAAUAUUUAAAGUACAUUCAGUCCAGCAUAAACCAAGACAAAGAGCAUCUAGUUUAAACAGAUUAUUCAACCCAACAGCCACGCACAACAAUCUGACAUUAGCUAAGACAUUGGACAACUAAAGCUUCCAGCAGUGCCGCAGUUUAAUAUGCAACAUUUUUACCAUAACUCCUUCAAUUUUAACUCCAGCUCAUCAUGCCAAAUACAAGUAUUAAACUACCGAGUAACUUUAGAUAUCAGAUGUGAAAGUUUACAAAGUGGAGUUUGAAGGAAAAACUGAUCAAAGGUUUAACUCUCUCUCUCUCUCUCUCGGCCUUGAUAGAAAGCUUCAGACAGCAAUCAAUAUUUUAGCAAGAAAUUCCUCCAUUAACUACUUCAUUUCAUACCCAAAUCUAACAUGCAUGCCAAAACUAAAAUAUUAUGCAAUGAACUAAGCCUCAACGUAGGAGUUUAGAACCAAAAUAUAUAAAGAAACUUGGACAUUUCUAUCUUUCCUCCUUCAGCCAGCAUAGCAGAAACUUCCAACUAUUUCCUUCAACCAAACUUAGUUUUUCUUAGCUACAAUCCAACAUGCAACCUUAAUAUUCAAGUGUACUGAAUAACUAAGAGGUUAUUACAGAAAAUUUUCUUUAUUUAUGGGCUGCAACUCAACAACAACUCUCGGUUCCCUCCAUUUCUGUCCAAUUCUCAUCUUUUUCUCCUUUAUUAGAUUUCUCCUCGGUUAAAACUCAUUAUGCCUUGCUAAAACUAACAUGCAGCUUGUAUAUAUACUCAUUUGUGCCAAAUAAGCAGAAGGUUAUGGUAGAUUCUUACCUCUUUUCCCUUAAAAAUCAAUAAUGAAGACUGCUCAAGUUUGUUAUCACAACUCCUCACUCGACCUCCGUUCUGUUUUCAUUCGUAUAGUUAGCUGAUCGUGAAGCUUACACUUUCUUUUCCCUCACACUCUGUCUCACUCACUCGAGUCUGCUUUAGGAAGAAAGCAAGAAAGGAAGACAACUUUUCUUCUCAACUCUCUCGGCCUUAUUGAUUAAGGAGAUCAGAUUGUUUCUUUUCGGUCACCGCCCAGCUUUUUUUUGUUUCUUUUAAGCUGCUCUCUAUUUAGUUAUUGCUUACUCAGCUGGCUUAGUAACAUUUCCUUC